ensembl:lncRNA
GCAGAAUAAAUACAGUCUUCCUUUGACUUGCUAACUAUCAGAAGGCAUAUGGUGUUGCAUCUUAUAAGACAUUAUUGGUGGAAUUCUAACAGCAAGAAGUAAUAAAGUGCAAAAGUCUUUGUCAAGUUUUUCAUUGCCCUUAGGAGCUUCUGGCUUUGAGCCUUCACAAAUAAACUAUGCAAUGCAUCUGGAAUCAAGAAAGAAAGUACGGCAUAAUUAAGCUACUUCCUGUGGAGUCUGCCAUUUUAUCCACCAUUUGCACCAAGCUACUUAGAAGAAACCAAGCUGAUACCUUUGUUAAUGAGAAUAAUAGAGAAUGGGAAAUUCCUACAGAGGAUUUCAUCAUCAGAGAUCAAAGCAUUAGAAUCAGGUGUCAGGACACUGAAGAAAAUG